GAGAGGAGGACACGCGCGCGCACACGCACGGGGAGAGAUCUUGCGGGUGAUGAAUAUGAUAAUUGGACAAGGGACGGGAUGAAAAAGCUGAGGCUUGCAGAGACUGGUCAACUUGCUCCACAUCACGUGGUUGGCAAAGGCAGCACCAGAAGUCAAAACCCAUGCUCUUCACCACUUGAUCUUCUGUGUUUUCAUCUAUGUUUCCAUCAAGGGAAUUUCUGAUCUUAAUUUCAUUUCUCAGGCAUGUGAAGAGCUGCUUUGGAACCAGGAUGUCCGCAAAGUCAAGAAGGUCAAACUGAAGCCUCCCCAUGAAGAUCUCC